rnacentral:tmRNA from 1 species
GCCCUUCCCUUCGCUGCAACUUCGCCUAUAUAGGGCGUUGCCGGCUACGGCCGGCUAUGGCGAUAAAUGAUACCGCGCUUCGGCGCAGCGGACCCGGGGGCAGUACCCGGCGGCUCCACCAGAAACCUCCGGAAACGGGGGCUCCUGACGGGGCCGAACCAGGAUCGACGUGCGGACGGACACGGUGUUUUUGCCCGGGCUGAGUAACCCGUUAAAGGCUCGAAACCACAAGUGCCAACGACAACGAGGCGCUCGCGAUUGCCGCGUAAUCACGGCCUAACGGCUUAGAUUACAAGGCUUGAACGCGGUUCGGGCCGCACCGGGCAACAGAAGCGGAUUCCA